CCAAUAGCGUAUAUUAAAGUUGUUGCAGUUAAAAAGCUCGUAGUUGAACUUCGGGAUCAAUGGAUUGGUCAUGCCGAUGGUAUGUACUGGUCAUAUUGGUUCUCACCUUCUAAGGAACCAUAAUGUCAUUUAUUUGAUGUUGUGGGGAAUUAGGACUGUUACCUUGAAAAAAUUAGAGUGUUUAAAGCAGGCUAACGCUUGAAUACAUUAGCAUGGAAUAAUGAAAUAGGACAUCGCAUUCUAUUUUGUUGGUUUCUAGGAUCGAUGUAAUGAUUAAUAGGGAUAGUUGGGGGGAUUAGUAUUCAAUUGUCAGAGGUGAAAGUCUUGGAUUUAUUGAAGACUAACUACUGCGAAAGCAUUUGCCAAGGAUGUUUUCAUUAAUCAAGAACGAAAGUUAGGGGAUCGAAGACGAUCAGAUACCGUCGUAGUCUUAACCAUAAACUAUGCCGACUAGGGAUCGGAUGAUGUUGAUUUUUUAAUGACUCAUUCGGCACCUUACG
rnacentral:rRNA from 1 species